rnacentral:rRNA from 1 species
UACGGGGGGGGCAAGCGUUGUUCGGAAUUACUGGGCGUAAAGGGCGCGUAGGCGGCCUUCUAAGUCAGACGUGAAAUCCCUCGGCUCAACCGAGGAACUGCGUCUGAUACUGGAAGGCUUGAAUCCGGGAGAGGGAUGUGGAAUUCCAGGUGUAGCGGUGAAAUGCGUAGAUAUCAGGAGGAACACCAAUGGCGAAGGCAGCUCACUGGGACGGUACUGACGCUGAGACGCGAAAGCGUGGGGAGCAAACAGG